rnacentral:tRNA from 1 species
GGACAGGAAUUGAACCUGCAACCCUUCGAUU